GAGUCUUUACAAAAGCUAGCCCCGAGAUCGUUUGUGCCGGUCAAAACUUUAGCUUAAUUUACCCUAGAUUUACUUUUUAAAAGCCUUAACCAUCAUUUGGCACCAAAACGUAAUGUUAACAAUUAGGUCUGGGUGUAACUCAACCACCACUGCCAAAGAUACAUCCUUGUCCGGCGCCAUGAUGACGUGCUAUUUCCCAAUAACAGCUAGACACUGCAGGCUGUCCCUCAUUGCUAACCAACCACCACCACCACCACGCGGCCACCAUGUUUACAUUACUCCCAUCCUGAUAAGCUUAAUAUUAUCUAGUACUCACGUAAUACUGAGCUUCCUGCCAUGUCAGAGCGUCACUCCUUCCUCCCUCACAUCUCCCGCAGUGUGCCUUCAUUCUAGGGAUCGGUGUCGUGAACUGUGAAGCUUUCGGGAUCUCGUUUGGUCUCAAUAAUUUUAGAUGUACUGCCAGACUACUACUACUACUACUACUACUACUACUACUACUAUAAAUAAUAAUAAUACGAAGAAGAAAAACCUCGUUAACAAAAUGAGUUUAUUGAUAAAGUAUAAUACAAUAUCGGUCCAUUUCCUCUCCCUUAAUUACAGGUGUGGGCGACAUAAUAACAUUAAUAAUAAUAAUAAUAAUAAUAAACCACAUGAUUAUUAUGAACACAUACCUCGCCCAUGUCACAAUAAUAAUAAUAAUAAUAAUAAUAAUAAUAAUAAUAAUAAUAAUAAUAAUAAUAGAAUGCAUUUACUUUUCUUUCCCGCAAACCCCAAACUUAAACUUACUAUAUAUAUGAGAAAUGGACCUUUUUAAGUCAAACCAGAGCUAGAGAAGGCACAUAUUCUAAUCAACACUGGAGAGAGAGAGAGAGAGAGAGAGAGAGAGAGAGAGAGAGAGAGAGAGAGAGAGAGAGAGAGAGAGAGAGAGAGAGAGAGAGAGAGAGAGAGA